rnacentral:rRNA from 1 species
GAUGAACGCUGGCGGCGUGCCUAAUACAUGCAAGUCGAGCGAACAGACGAGGAGCUUGCUCCUCUGACGUUAGCGGCGGACGGGUGAGUAACACGUGGAUAACCUACCUAUAAGACUGGGAUAACUUCGGGAAACCGGAGCUAAUACCGGAUAAUAUAUUGAACCGCAUGGUUCAAUAGUGAAAGACGGUUUUGCUGUCACUUAUAGAUGGAUCCGCGCCGCAUUAGCUAGUUGGUAAGGUAACGGCUUACCAAGGCGACGAUGCGUAGCCGACCUGAGAGGGUGAUCGGCCCCACUGGAACUGAGCCACGGUCCAGACUCCUACGGGAGGCAGCAGUAGGGAAUCUUCCGCAAUGGGCGAAAGCCUGACGGAGCAACGCCGCGUGAGUGAUGAAGGUCUUCGGAUCGUAAAACUCUGUUAUUAGGGAAGAACAAAUGUGUAAGUAACUAUGCACGUCUUGACGGUACCUAAUCAGAAAGCCACGGCUAACUACGUG